AGGUGUUAAGUUUUUAACUCAAUAAGAUAGUUAGAUUUCGUAGUGCAGACCACACUCACGUUUUAGGCCAUUAAA
rnacentral:tRNA from 1 species